rnacentral:tRNA from 1 species
AGAGGUGUAGCUCAGUGGUAGGGUACUUGCCUGUCAUGCAUGAGGUCCUGGUUCAAUCCCCAGUGCUGCCC